rnacentral:hammerhead_ribozyme from 1 species
UUCCAGUUGACGAGUUCCACAUAGGACGAAACGCGCAUCCUGGAU